UACGUAGGGGGCAAGCGUUGUCCGGAUUUAUUGGGCGUAAAGAGCGUGUAGGCGGCCAGGUAGGUCCGUUGUGAAAACUGGAGGCUUAACCUCCAGCUGUCGAUGGAAACCAUCUGGCUAGAGUCCGGAAGAGGAGAGUGGAAUUCCUGGUGUAGCGGUGAAAUGCGCAGAUAUCAGGAAGAACACCCGUGGCGAAGGCGGCUCUCUGGGACGGUACUGACGCUGAGACGCGGAAGCGUGGGGAGCGAACAGG
rnacentral:rRNA from 1 species